rnacentral:rRNA from 1 species
AAAUCUUUCUUAUAUUUUUAAAUGCUUGUAGUGGAUGCCUAGGCAAUUAUUGGCGAUGAAGGACGUAGAUAUUUUACGAAAUUUUCGGUUAGUUAAUAUAUCAACUUUGAACCGAAAGUAUCCAAAUGGGGCAACCUAAUUUAAAAAAUUAUUACAUUAUGAACUAAAUAGUAAUGUAAAGCUAACACAGAGAACUGAAACAUCUUAGUAACUGUAGGAAAAAAAAUAAAAUAGAUUCCCUUAGUAGUGGCGAGCGAAACGGGAAAAGUCAAUACAGUAAUUAUUUCAUAAACUAUCCGAAAUUUUAUGAAAAGAAAAUAUCGUAGAAGGUUAAAAUCCUGUAGGUUAAAGUUUUUGUAAAUGUACUAAAUGUAUUAAAAAAUAUAACGAGACACGAGAAAUCUUGUUAGAAGAAGGGAGGACCAUCUUCCAAGACUAAAUACACAUAAUUGACCGAUAGUGAACUAGUACCGUGAGGGAAAGGUGAAAAAGAACCCCUGAUAGGGGAGUGAAAUAGAACCUGAAACAACAAGCAUACAUAAAAGUCGGAAGCUUUAUAAAGUAACGGCGUACCUUUUGUAUAAUGGGUCAGUGACUUAUAUUUAGUAGCAAGCUUAACAUUAGGUAGGCAAAGUGAAAACAAGUCUUAAAUGGCGUAUUAGUUUCUAGAUAUAGACCCGAAACCAAACGAUCUAUCUAUGACCAGGAUGAAAAAUAGGUAAAACUAUUCGGAGGUCCGAACUCACUAACGUUGAAAAGUUAGGGGAUGAGUUGUGGAUAGGGGUGAAAGGCCAAUCAAGUUUGGAGAUAGCUGGUUCUCUUCGAAAGCUAUUUAGGUAGCGCCUUGUUUUUUUUAUUUUGGGGGUAGAGCACUGUAAUAACAUUAGAGUUUACUUUAAUCUUAUUGCAAACUCCGAAUACCAAAAUUUGUAUAACAGGAGACAGACAAUGGGUGAUAAUGUUCAUUGUCGAAAGGGAAACAACCCAGAUCAUAGGAUAAGGUCCCGAAAUAUUAACUAAGUGUUUAACGAAGUUAGAAAACUAAGACAGUCAGGAGGUUGGCUUAGAAGCAGCUAUCCUUUAAAGAAAGCGUAACAGCUCACUGAUCGAGUUUUUUAGCGCGGAAGAUGUGCGGGGCUAAGUUAAUUACCGAAGCCAUGAAUAUUUUUUUAAAUAUGGUAGAAGAGCGUUCUAUUAAUGCAGAAGAUAUAAGUGUGAACUAUAUUGGAAUUUAUAGAAGUGAGAAUGCUGACAUAAGUAACGAUUAAGAAAGUAAAAAACUUUCUCACCUAAAGCUUAAGGUUUCCUAUUCAACGAUAUUCGAAAUAGGGUUAGUCGGUGCUAAGGCAAGGUAUAAAUACGUAGUCGAUGAUAAACAGUUUAAUAUUACUGUACCUUUUAUAAAAGUGAUGGAGGGACAAAUUGCUGAAAAUAUAUCCAAACUAGAAAGAUUUGGUUUUGUUUAAAGAAAAUAUAAAGGAAAAUCCGUAUAUUAAAUUCAAUAAACAAUUAUUUUUUAUUAAAGAAUAUUAUAAGUAGUUUCCGGAAAAGCUUCUAAACAAUUUUUAUAAAAGACCGUACUAAAACCGACACAGGUAGGCUAGAUGAGUAUUCUAAGGUGGAUGAGAUAACUCAGGAGAAGGAACUCGGCAAAUUGAUACUGUAACUUUGGGAAAAAGUAUACCAAAGUAUGAAAAAUUUAUAUUUUGGUCUCAGAAAAAAGGUAGCUGCGACUGUUUAAUAAAAACACAGCACUCUGCAAACACAAUUGUGGAAGUAUAGGGUGUGACGCCUGCCCAGUGCUGGAAGAUUAAGUUUUGAUGUAUAUAGCUUCAAAAUUAAGUCCCAGUAAACGGCGGCCGUAACUAUAACGGUCCUAAGGUAGCGAAAUUCCUUGUCGGGUAAGUUCCGACCCGCACGAAUGGCGUAACGAUGGCUACACUGUCUCCUCCUGGGGCUCAGUGAAAUUGAAAUGUUCGUGAAGAUGCGAACUACCCGCGGUAAGACGGAAAGACCCCAUGAACCUUUACUGUAUCUUUACAUUGAAAAAAAAAAUAAACAUGCGUAGAAUAGGUAGGAGACAAUGAAAUUAGAAAUUUAGGUUUCUAAAUAGUCGAAAAUUUGAAAUACUACCCUUUUUAUAUUUUUUUUCUUAUUUAGUUCCUUAAAACAGGAAUAAAGAAAGUGUAUGGUUGACAGUUUGACUGGGGCGGUCUCCUCCUAAAGAGUAACGGAGGAGUACAAAGGUACGCUAUUUACGAACAGAAAUCGUAAAGAUAGUACAAUGGCAAAAGCGUGCUUAACUGAAAGACAAACAAGUCGAACAGAUGCGAAAGCAGGUCAUAGUGAUCCGGUAGUACCGAAUGGAAGGGCUAUCGCAUAACGAAUAAAAGGUACUCUGGGGAUAACAGGCUAAUACCGCCCAAGAGUUCAUAUCGACGGCGGUGUUUGGCACCUCGAUGUCGGCUCAUCUCAUCCUGGGGCUGAAGAAGGUCCCAAGGGUAUGGCUGUUCGCCAUUUAAAGAGGUACGUGAGCUGGGUUUAAAACGUCGUGAGACAGUUUGGUCCCUAUCUACCGUGGGCGUAGGAAAUAUGAAAGGAGCUGCUCCUAGUACGAGAGGACCGGAGUGGAGAUACAUAUGGUGUCCCGGUUGUUGUGUCAACAGCAUAGCCGGUUAGCUAAGUAUCGAAAAGAUAACUACUGAAAGCAUAUAAGUAGGAAGCUUACCUUAAGAUUAUAUUUCCCUAGAAAUGUAAAUUUCUAUUAAGAAUCGUUCUAGACUAGGACGUUGAUAGGCUGGGGGUAAAUUUAUAGUAAUAUAAUGGCUAACCAGUACUAAUUUUCGUAUGUAUAAGAAAGAUUUAUUU